rnacentral:misc_RNA from 1 species
UUUAUUAAGGAUGAUUUAGUUUAUUACUUAUAAACGAAGGAUAAAAAAAGACCGAAUACGAUUCCUGUAUUCGGUCCAGGGAAAUGGCUCUUGGGAGAGAGCCGUGCGCUAAAAGUUGGCAUUAAUGCAGGCUCAGUCGCCUUGCCUUUUAAGAAUAGAUGACGACACCAGCUUUUCCAGUUUGCGGCUAAAGUCGCAGCAAAAAGCGGUCAGAACGUCAUAAAAAAGAAAAACCGCAACGCGCCCUGCCG